ACAAAGCCCCCGCACACAGCAGUCCAGCCUCCAACAGCCUAGCGUAAAAGUGAUUAGGUGGAAUUGACCCGAUCGUGGAAUCGACUAAGAGCAACUCCAAGAGUUUCCUAAAAAAAUUCUCCUCCAAAACUAUGUAUUGGGGGCUCUUCUAACAUAUUCCUUCCCUAAAUCAUCCUGCAACAGAUCUCCAGAAACUAGCCUCUCUAAUAUUUUAAAACAAGCCACGUCAUCAGAGUAGGCCCAGUUGAAAACACCCCGUCGAUCUGACCGGUGACCGCACGCGUCCACACCUUACCAGCGCCACACCCACACUUAUCUCUCUGAUUUUCACCGUUCCUCUCCC
rnacentral:lncRNA from 1 species